GGAGAGGUGCAGGAGUGGUUGAACUGGCAGUCCUGGAAAGACUGUGAGCCGGCAACGGUUCCGAGGGUUCGAAUCCCUCUCUCUCCGCCA
rnacentral:tRNA from 1 species